rnacentral:rRNA from 1 species
CCUACGGGAGGCAGCAGUAGGGAAUAUUGCUCAAUGGGGGAAACCCUGAAGCAGCAACGCCGCGUGGAGGAUGAAGGUUUUCGGAUUGUAAACUCCUUUUGUUAGAGAAGAUAAUGACGGUAUCUAACGAAUAAGCACCGGCUAACUCCGUGCCAGCAGCCGCGGUAAUACGGAGGGUGCAAGCGUUACUCGGAAUCACUGGGCGUAAAGAGCGCGUAGGCGGGAUAGCAAGUCAGAUGUGAAAUCCUAUGGCUUAACCAUAGAACUGCAUUUGAAACUUUUAUUCUAGAGUAUGGGAGAGGUAGGUGGAAUUCUGGGUGCAGGGGUAAAAUCCGUAGAGAUCAAGAGGAAUACUCAUUGCGAAGGCGACCUGCUGGAACAUAACUGACGCUGAUGCGCGAAAGCGUGGGGAGCAAACAGGAUUAGAUACCCUUGUAGUC